rnacentral:lncRNA from 1 species
AAUGACUUUUACCUCAUUUUUAAAACAAAUCCAUAGUAUGAGGUUUAUUUCGAACAACUGGCAAUUCCAGGAAUGAUGGAAUAAAGCAUACGAAGUAGAAGGACUGGAACCUCCAGAAAAAGUACUUUAAGUUACCUACAGGUGAUCCUAGUCAGGUAUGAAUUGAUAAGAAAUGCCUGCACCUUCCCUCCUUCCUAUCUUUCCCUUGCCUACAGAAAAUUAAAAGGCAAAACAAUGGACAUCUACAUAUUCUUCAUUCAGAUCAACCAGUGGCUAGCAUUUGCCACCUUUUGCAGUUUCUUUCUCUUUCCAUAAGUACUUUCUUCUCUGAAUCAUUUGAAAGCAAAUGAAAACAGUAGCCUAAAGUGUCAGUUUCAACCCGAAAAUAACAGCUCUGAUUUCUCAUGGCUCACACUCGUCUGAAAUGACUCGGGUAGAGGCUGAGGAAGGCUGUGUUGUUUGUCUACCUGGGACUACACCUACUGAAAGAAGUUCUCAAGUUCUGAUUGAGUUCUAAAAUUCUUUUGAAGAUUGGAAUUCUUCAUAUGUAAAAAGAGAAGAGAAAGACAUUCUUGAUUUUGGUGACUAGAGUUGUAGAUGCUGGAAGCUUUGCCACUAACAUUGAUGAACCAGAUGCAUGUCACCAGCCCAUCACGGUGAUUCUUAAUGCCGGCACCAUGGGCCGGCACUGCCACGUUUUCCAAGGAACCUGCCAGAGCUCCUGCGGAAGCUGCUCCUCGGGCGAUGGAGUCCCUUUGCUGCUAGGCCCUUCUUCAGUCACCACAGGAUGCCUGCCAUUCAUGAACAGGAAGGAGAGGACGGGCUUUGAAUAAAAAACAGGAUCCAGGAAAUAUUUGUGAGGCCAUUUGGACUUCAGUGUGAAAUGGUGUUAAAAGAUGAAGUCAUUUAUUCAAGAAGUAAACCUCUGCCACCUGGACUGUGCUCAGACAUUUCAUUGAUUUUGUUUAAUAAACAUUUUCUGGCUUUGG